rnacentral:rRNA from 1 species
GCUCUAGUUGCUGCUUGGCUGCCUUGAAGUGAGGGCAUGGGAGUUGCUGAUUGCCUCUUUGGAGACCAUGAUUUUGUGGGCACGUUGCCUAUAACUUGGUUUAGAUAUGAUGAUCAACUACCUAUAAAUAUUGGAGGUGCUGACUAUGAUCCGUUAUUUCCUUUUGGAUAUGGGCUGAAAUGUUGA